rnacentral:rRNA from 1 species
GACGCAUGCCGGAGGGGUAACCCACUGGCAUGACGGAGCGGCGAACGGGUGAGUAACACGUGAGCAACCUGCCCCACAGACCGGAACAGCCCAGGGAAACCUGGAUUAAUACCGGAUGCCCUCAUCGGACCACAUGGUCUGAUGAGGAAAUGCCUUUGUGCUGUGGGAUGGGCUCGCGGCUUAUCAGCUAGUUGGUGGGGUAACGGCCUACCAAGGCAUCGACGAGUAGCUGGUCUGAGAGGACGAUCAGCCACACUGGGACUGAGAUACGGCCCAAACUCCUACGGGAGGCAGCAGCAGGGAAUCUUGCGCAAUGGGCGAAAGCCUGACGCAGCAACGCCGCGUGGGGGAUGACGGCCUUCGGGUUGUAAACCCCUUUCGGGAGGGAAGAAAUUGACGGUACCUCCAAAAGAAGCACCGGCCAACUACGUGCCAGCAGCCGCGGUAAUACGUAGGGUGCGAGCGUUAUCCGGAAUCAUUGGGCGUAAAGAGCUCGUAGGCGGUUCAGCAAGUCGGCUGUGAAAGUCCGAGGCUCAACCUCGGAACUGCAGUCGAUACUGCUGUGACUCGAGUCCGGUAGAGGAGAAUGGAAUUCCCGGUGUAGCGGUGAAAUG